UACGUAGGGGGCAAGCGUUGUCCGGAUUUAUUGGGCGUAAAGAGCUCGUAGGCGGUGUGUCGCGUCGGCCGUGAAAACCUGCAGCUUAACUGUGGGCUUGCGGUCGAUACGGGCAUCACUGGAGUUCGGCAGGGGAGACUGGAAUUCCUGGUGUAGCGGUGGAAUGCGCAGAUAUCAGGAGGAACACCGGUGGCGAAGGCGGGUCUCUGGGCAGUAACUGACGCUGAGGAGCGAAAGCGUGGGGAGCGAACAGG
rnacentral:rRNA from 1 species